UGAGGGAGGAGGGGGAAGGCAAGAACAAGAGAGGAAGUGCCUCUCGGUUGUGGGCAUGCCCAGUAUAGUGACAGGAGGGAGACGAGGUGACUGAGCAGACUUUUGUUGCUGCUCACUCUCCCUGCUGUCCCUUAUACUCUCUCACUCACUCACUCUCUCUCUCUUUCUCUGUUAUUUUUUUCCUCUUCUCACCAAGUAGUGAUAGUGUGGUGAGAUUUUUUUGUUUUUGCUAUGGAAGAGCAAAAAGGAGGUGCAGCUUUCAGCUAGUGCAAAAUUCAGCUGGGGGGAAGUAAAGAAAAUAAAAAAAGAAGAAGAGGAGGAGGAGGAGGAGGAGAAAAAAAGGCAAGAGAGAACGACCUCACCCCCAUCUCACUCUGCUCGCUCUCAUUCCCUCCUCUGCCAACGACUUCUACCUCAGAAACAGCGGUGGGACCAACUUCAAAAGGCAGUCUGGAGGGAGCUGGAGUGUGAAAUCUGAGAAGAGAAGCUAGAUGAGAGGCUGACCGGCGCUGUGUUUGCUAUGCUGUCCAGGGCAAACCAACGCAGCA